rnacentral:rRNA from 1 species
UGAGCGGAGAUAUAUGGAGCUUGCUUUAUAUAACUUAGCAGCGAACGGGUGAGUAACACGUAGAUAAUCUAUCCUAUACUGGGGGAUAGCCCGAUGAAAGUUGGAUUAAUACCGCAUAUAGCUAUAUAGUUGCAUGAUUAUGUAGUGAAAGAUUUAUUGGUAUAGGAGGAGUCUGCGGCACACUAGCUAGUAGGUGAGGUAAAGGCUUACCUAGGCGACGAUGUGUAGCCGGUCUGAGAGGAUGAACGGCCACAAUGGAACUGAGACACGGUCCAUACUCCUACGGGAGGCAGCAGUGGGGAAUAUUGCACAAUGGGGGAAACCCUGAUGCAGCAACGCCGCGUGAGUGAAGAAGGUUUUCGGAUUGUAAAGCUCUGUUAGCAGGGAAGAGGAAGGACGGUACCUGCAGAGGAAGCCACGGCUAACUACGUGCCAGCAGCCGCGGUAAUACGUAGGUGGCAAGCGUUGUUCGGAAUAACUGGGCGUAAAGGAUGCGUAGGCGGUUAAACAAGUUAUAUGUUAAAUAUAUAGGCUUAACCUGUAGAAAGCAUAUAAAACUGUUUAACUAGAGUGCAGGAGAGGUAAGUGGAAUUCCUAGUGUAGCGGUGAAAUGCGUAGAGAUUAGGAAGAACACCAGUGGCGAAGGCGACUUACUGGACUGUAACUGACGCUGAGGCAUGAGAGCAUGGGGAGCAAACAGGAUUAGAUACCCUGGUAGUCCAUGCUGUGAACGAUGGGUACUAGGUGUGGGUUGUGAAUAACAAUUCGUGCCGUCGCAAACGCAAUAAGUACCCCGCCUGAGGAGUACGAUCGCAAG